UCCUGCCAGCUCCGUGGGGUCCCAAU
rnacentral:misc_RNA from 1 species